GGCGCCGCCUUCGCCGCGCCGCGCGUCCUCGCCGUUGUCUGCGCUCGCUCUGGACCAGUUUGGGGAAGUUGGUCGAGCCCCGUGUCGCCCAGAUGUGCGACCUCAUUGAGCCGCAGCCGCCCGAGAAGAUUGGCAAGAUGAAGAAGUUGCGGAGAACUUUGUCGGAUAGUUUCAGCCGCAUUGCUUUGAAGAAAGACGACACCACCUUUGAUGAGAUAUGUGUCACAAAGAUGUCUACACGGAACUGCCCGGGAAUGGACUCAGUGAUCAAACCCCUGGACACAAUUCCUGAGGAUAAAAAAGUCAGGGUUCAGAGGACACAGAGCACUUUUGACCCAUUUGAGAAACCAACUAAUCAAGUUAAGAGGGUGCAUUCUGAGAACAAUGCUUGCAUUAACUUUAAGGCCUCCUCCACUGGCAAAGAGUCUCCUAAAGUUCGGCGGCACUCCAGCCCCAGCUCGCCAACAAGUCCCAAAUUUGGAAAAGCUGACUCAUAUGAAAAACUGGAAAAACUAGGAGAAGGAUCUUAUGCUACAGUAUACAAAGGGAAAAGCAAGGUAAAUGGGAAGUUGGUAGCCCUGAAGGUGAUCAGGCUGCAAGAAGAAGAAGGUACACCUUUCACAGCUAUCAGGGAAGCUUCUCUGUUAAAAGGACUGAAACAUGCUAACAUAGUGCUGCUUCAUGACAUUAUCCACACCAAGGAGACGCUGACACUUGUGUUCGAAUAUGUGCAUACUGAUUUAUGUCAGUACAUGGACAAGCACCCUGGGGGGCUGCAUCCAGAUAAUGUGAAGUUGUUUUUAUUUCAGUUGCUGCGAGGGCUGUCUUACAUCCACCAGCGUUAUAUUUUGCACAGAGACCUGAAACCACAGAACCUUCUGAUCAGUGACACGGGGGAGUUAAAGCUGGCAGAUUUCGGUCUUGCAAGAGCAAAAUCUGUCCCUAGCCACACAUACUCCAAUGAAGUGGUUACCUUGUGGUACAGACCUCCAGAUGUCCUCCUGGGCUCGACAGAAUAUUCCACCUGCCUUGACAUGUGGGGAGUCGGCUGCAUCUUUGUUGAAAUGAUCCAAGGAGUUGCUGCUUUUCCAGGAAUGAAAGACAUUCAGGAUCAACUUGAACGAAUAUUUCUGGUUCUUGGAACGCCAAAUGAGGACACGUGGCCUGGAGUUCAUUCUUUACCACAUUUUAAGCCAGAACGCUUUACCCUGUACAGCUCUAAAAACCUUAGACAAGCAUGGAAUAAGCUCAGCUAUGUGAAUCAUGCAGAGGAUCUGGCCUCCAAACUCCUACAGUGUUCCCCAAAGAACAGACUAUCAGCACAGGCCGCCUUGAGCCACGAGUAUUUUAGUGACCUGCCCCCACGGCUAUGGGAACUGACUGAUAUGUCUUCUAUUUUUACCGUCCCAAAUGUAAGAUUGCAGCCAGAAGCUGGAGAAAGUAUGCGGGCCUUUGGGAAAAACAAUAGUUAUGGCAAAAGUCUAUCAAAUAGCAAGCACUGAGGCGCACAGCAUUCUCGAGAGAGCACAGUCAGCCACAAGCGGACGUUAAAAAAGCGUGAAGCAUCCCUUAAUCCCAUGAGCCUGGUGUGUGCUGGCUCCUGUCACUGCGUUCUCCAGCUCUGUUGCCAGUGGAGGAUUAAGUUGUCAUCAUUCUGGGAAGGAAAAAAAAACAUUAAUGAAGUGGCCAAUAAUACGAAGGGAAUCAUGGAUCAGUUUCCUUUCACUCCCUGUGGUGGAUUUCACUUACAAGAAAAUUGAAGCUGGCAAGACCUGUUUUCUCUGCAAUUUAUUUAAAACCUUGCACGCAUUUGGAUACCUUGUGAGUUCCAAGAACUAUGUGAAGAUUAAGUUUUGCUUACUGAUACAUGGCAUGUAUUCUUUUCAGUCUUUUGUGUUUGAUUUUUUUUGAUUUCCCUCUGCACCGCGGCGUCUCUGUAAAGGUUUUUAUGCUUUCACCAGCCAUGUCUUAAAUACAUUAAGACAACACACUCGGUGUUCACACUUCUUCAGUAAUGUCUGUACUUGAAAGCCACAUAGUGGCAUAAAACAAUGUGUGUUUUCUUUGAGAGCAGUGCACAUUUUGCAACCACCAGGAAGGAAAACUAUAGCUAAAAAAACCCCCAUGUUCUCUGACUGACUUGACACCUUGGUCCCUGGCCAUGGGACCCCACUUGUCUCUUACCUUUUGAGGACAUAGGCAAAUGUGUUUUUUUUUUUUUUUUUUCUUGGAAAUAACUGCACACUUAUAUAGGAUAUCGGAAUCUGCUUAGCAUUUUCAAGCCACAUAGCAUGACUGUUCUCCGAGCAGGUUGGAAGUGAAGAAACAAAUAUGAAGCAUUAAGAACAAAGACAGGGAUAAAUCGCUUCCUUUUGAACCUCUAGAAAUUGAGGUAGCUUUUUACAUGCUUUCUGGGUCUUGUCAACAUCUUAUUUUUUCCAUCCACUUUGUUACGCUUUGUGAGUAUUUUCUAAAUGGUGAAAAGAGUGAGGAACAGAAUGUUUAAAGCACGGGUGCAAAAGAAUUCUAUCUGCUAGAUGAGCCCUGAAUGCUGUCUUUACUAGUCAACAUUUAAAAAGCAAAUUACAAAGCUAUCCAGAGUUUGAAAUUUGCUCAUUUACACCAAAACACCUUUGAACUACAUUUUUCUAAACAUUCCAGGCUAAUUGGAAGGCAUCAUCGGGUACCCUAACUUUAAGCAGUCUCCAGGAAUAACUGUUCGGAUGCAGGUUUUAGAAACAAGGCAGGAGUCUUGCUUUAAAGAUGGAAAAGGGAAAAAGGAAAGGCCUGGCUUCCCUUGUUUAAGAAGCUGAGAGACCUUGGAGGAUGAAGGCGAGUAUGUGACAUGGAGGGGAAGGUGGAUUGGGCACACGCGUGCUUUGAUCCAGAGGGAGAGCUGCCUGGCGCAGGUCUGUUCCCGGUGGGGCAGCCUCACUGCAGACCCCAAAUAACACUGGGGCAGCUAGGAAACUUCAUCUCGAGCAUGAAACCUAGCUCCUGAGGACACCAGUUCUUAUGGAAAUACCUUCGUGUACAUUGUUUUACAUUUCCUAGUAGACAGGAGGAGAGACUGAGAACUUGAAACGUGUCGCACUUUUUAGGAUCAAGAGUAGGAAUUAUGAGCCAGUUUGACAAAAACUUUCCCUGAGAGUCAGGUGAAGGAAAAGCUUUUCUAUAGUCACCCAGUAUACCUAGGAAAUUGGACCCAGGAUUUCUAAACAUUAAAACAGUACUUGCCCUGGAGUGGGGUGUGAGUAUAGAUGUCAGGUCACAAUCCAUCUUGUCCAGAGUAGUAUUCAUUGUAAGCUUCUAAGUGCUAAGCGAGGAAUUAUUUACUGAUUGAUUUUAAAGAGAGGAAAAGUUAUCCAAGGCCAGAAUGCUUACUGUUUGCUACCUAGAAAUACUUCCCAUUCUUCUUUCAUACAUUCCAACUCUUUGGCAGUCUUUAGAGGUAUUUUGAUUUAACGUGUAUUUACAUUAGGACUUCUUAAAGUAAAUGUGGAGAGAAAACUUUACGUGCAAUCAAAAAACGGCCUUUCCUGUGAUUUAUUUUGAAUUAUUCAUUUGGGGGAGAGGCAUAACUUUUGUACUUAAUGAAGUUUAAACCAAGGGCUGAUGAUGAUUCAGUCUUGCUAUGUAAUAAGCUUUCUAACUUGAAAUUUUGAAAAUAUUUAAUGUUUAAAGAUUUCAAUUAGAAAUGUUAGAGUUAUUCAGAGAUAUAUGCCCCUGUCAUUGGCAGCUUCUCUUGGGAAAUGAAACGUAAUACUUCUCAGUGGGGGGGGGGGGGUGUAAAUCUGUUUUAUUGCAGAGACAUAUGUCUCAGAAGGGUCUCAUUUAGGAGGUUUUCGGUUCCCCAUGCUUGCCAUUGGUGUAGGACAUCAAAGUUUACUUUGUCUCUCUCUUUCCUCUCCCAUUUGCAAACACCUUCUCCUUGUUUUUUCCCUCCUCUCGCUGAGGACAGCCAUGAAAAUCACUACAGACUGUGUUCAUGAGCAGAUUUACUAUUCUAUUGAGAAAGCCCUGGAAUGUUUUGUGAGAUUAUUUUUAUAUGAAGGAGUAGCUUGGAUUCAAACAGCUGGAAUAGUUAGAACAUGUUAGCAUGGUAGCUGUAUCCGUGUGACGUCACUGCAACACAGUAUUUUGAAAGGCAACUUGGGACUUCAUGUCCAUUUUCUUAAAGGAAGAGUUUGGUUGACUUAAAAAUACAAGAUACAUAGGACAUGAAAAAAAAUGUUUGCAGUGCUCAGAAAAAAACCGGGGGCAUAAGGCGGGUGUGGCUGUCCGUCCCCUGACACAAGGAUGAGAGGCUAUUUCUACCUCCCAAGGGUGACGAGAAGAGUUUCCAGAGGAGCCUCCAGGCUUGUGGAGAAAGCACGGUCUCUUGGUAUCCUUUCCUCAGUGUGUACAUGAUAGCCAGUGUAAUCAAUACCCUAGGUAAUGUGUCUAUACAAGAUAAUCAUCUGUGAAUAUUACUGGUUUUGUAAUCUUUGUUAUAUAAGAGGAAGUUUAGGCUGUACAUACUGGGGUAGAUUAUUGCCUGCCCCAUACAUAGGAAUAUGCUGCAUAAUUGCAUAUAACUUCCAUCUCCCUUACCAGCUUGUAGGCAGAGGAAACCGUAUAAGUUACUGCCUUGCAAUUUUCUCAUACACCAAAAACCAAACCAAACAAAAUUCAAGUAAAAUAAGCAAUCUCCUAUUCUCAUUCCCUUCCUACAGCAGCAUAUUUUAGAGGCACAUACAAAAUCUACAUUCUUUCUAGUUGGGAGUGGAUUUUUAAAAUUUUUCUUUUAGCUUUUUUUUGUAUGAUACACUGAGAUGUGUACUUUCUAACAGGGGGUUGGUACCUAAGAAAUGAGCUAGCAUCAUUCAGAAAAUUAUUAUACUUCAAAAUGACACAUAGUAAGGAGAAUGGAAUAAUACAUGUUGCAUAUUUGUUACCAAUUGUAAUUUGUCUGUAUUAUGAAAGACGUAAUGGUUUGUCAGCUGUCACUGUUGUUUUCUUGUAACAUGAUAUGGAAUAAAGUAUAGCAGAA